AGUGGGAUUUCAUUGAGGCAAUAAUGGAGAAGAUGGGAUUUUCACAUAUGUGGAUCGAUUAUGAGAUGUAUUAAGUCUAUUAAGUACCAGUGGCGGGAUCUAGGAAUUUUUUUUUUUUUCGGGGACAUAAAAUAAAUAAACAGGAAGUAAAUAGCAUAGGAGGGGAUGUGAACCAUGGUCUAUGGGGACAAUCAAAUGACUGAAACCAUCUAUACUAUAGAAAGCUUGUAAAUUUUUAUGCAAAUAUAUUUAUUUCUAGAUUUUUGUGGGGGCAGCUGCCUCCUCCUUGCACAAAGUAAGUUCGCCACUGUUAAGUAUCAUGUGCUUUUAAACGGCGACCCAAAAGGAAUAUUACGCCGAAGCGAGGAUUAAGUCAAAGAGAUCUUUUG
rnacentral:lncRNA from 1 species